rnacentral:ncRNA from 1 species
AAAACUCAUUUAGACUUCCAGAUGCUUACAUGCAUUGUCAGUUGCUAGUAAUCUUUAGAUUGCAACAUCAUCAAAUUGCGGGAACCCCCUAAAGCAUAUGAUACCAAGGUUGAUUGUGAAAGCAUCAGCUGGCCGAGAACAGAACUCGGGUAUGGUAAAAAUUCAUAUGAUGCCACAAUGGGCAAUCCGCAGCCAAGCCUCUAAAGGAAAAUUAUUCCCAUGAGGAAGGUUCAACGACUAAACGGUGAUGGGUCUGGUGCUUAGCACAGGCUUAAGAUAUAGUCUAGUCCCUGAGUCAUGAGAU